rnacentral:rRNA from 1 species
GAUGAACGCUGGCGGCGUGCCUAAUACAUGCAAGUAGAACGCUGAAGGAGGAGCUUGCUCUUCUGGAUGAGUUGCGAACGGGUGAGUAACGCGUAGGUAACCUGCCUGGUAGCGGGGGAUAACUAUUGGAAACGAUAGCUAAUACCGCAUGACAACAGUUAUUGCAUGAUAACUGUUUAAAAGGGGCAACUGCUCCACUACCAGAUGGACCUGCGUUGUAUUAGCUAGUUGGUGAGGUAACGGCUCACCAAGGCGACGAUACAUAGCCGACCUGAGAGGGGGAUCGGCCACACUGGGACUGAGACACGGCCCAGACUCCUACGGGAAGCAGCAGUAGGGAAUCUUCGGCAAUGGACGGAAGUCUGACCGAGCAACGCCGCGUGAGUGAAGAAGGUUUUCGGAUCGUAAAGCUCUGUUGUAAGAGAAGAACGAGUGUGAGAGUGGAAAGUUCACACUGUGACGGUAUCUUACCAGAAAGGGACGGCUAACUACGUG